rnacentral:miRNA from 1 species
GCUGGUGCCGACGAUCGCCGGGA